AGCUGAACCCUGAGCCAAAAACCAACAAGGAGUGCUGAAUAGAGACUUUAUGGAGUUGCUCUGUGGGCUUUUUUUCUUGUGAAGGAACAGGGUGUGCUUGAAAGUAAAAAGAAAGCAAAAAGCCCCGAAGAGCCUGGCUUGGAAUAAAAACAUGCACCAUACAAGAUUUUUAUGAAGAUUAAAUAACUUGGGCUAAAAUAUUCUGGAAGCUGCCAAGGGCUCUACAGAUGAGCUAUACAGAGGCAUUUGCUGAAAACUGGCCUGGAUUGACAAGCGCAAUGCAAACGUGGCUGCGGCAGUUCCAGGCAUCACAUGGUAACAAGAUCACAUCCAGUGAAGAAGGAAUUCUCAUAAGACAGUCAGCAGAUUUUGCAGGUUUUCAACUGAUUGGAUGAGGUUCACCUACAUUAUGGAGGACAGUCUGCUUUACUCAAAGUCCAUCAAUGUAAAUUCCUGCAAGGUGGAUAUCACUCUCACCUUCAGCGCACAAAGAAAGGAGGUAUACAGAAGACACAGAACUCACCAAAGUCACAGGAACUAGGUGAGGAUGAACCAGGCUGCAUCCAAGCAGCCCAGCUUCAGGGUCUGUAUUCUUUGCCACUACCCAGAACUUUUACCAAUAAGCAAAGCUAUUGUUUGCAAUAACAGGAAGCAAAAAUAGCAAAAAGUUCCCUUUAAGGGGGAGUGUUAUAAUAUACUUAACAAUCAGAAUGGCUGAAGCACUGAUCUGUGAGAGUGGCUACUGGUCAUAGCCUGGAGCUGGUCUUUUAGGUCCUCUUUGGUUACUGGAUCCUGGGAGGAUGGAUGAGGAAGUGGUCUCAGGCAAGGGGUGGAGUUAAGUGGCUGUGGAAGGUACUUUGGAGGCUCAGGCAGCAGCUUUUUUUCCCCUUAAACUUUUGUUUUAAGUUCUAGGGUACACGUGCAGGAUGUGCAGUUUACAUAGGUAAACGUGUGCCGUGGUGGUUUGCUGUACAGAACAAACCAUCACUCAGGUAUUAUUAAGCCCAGCACCCAUUAGCUAUUCUUUCUGAUGCUUUCCCUCUCCCAACUUCCACCCGACAGGCCCCAGUGUGUGUUGUUCCCCUCCCUCUGUUCUCAUUGUUCAGCUCCCACUUAUAAGU
rnacentral:lncRNA from 1 species